GAUGAACGCUAGCGGGAGGCCUAACACAUGCAAGCCGAGCGGUAUUGUUUCUUCGGAAAUGAGAGAGCGGCGUACGGGUGCGUAACACGUGUGCAACCUGCCUUUAUCUGGGGGAUAGCCUUUCGAAAGGAAGAUUAAUACUCCAUAAUAUAUUGAACGGCAUCGUUUAAUAUUGAAAGCUCCGGCGGAUAGAGAUGGGCACGCGCAAGAUUAGCUAGUUGGUGAGGUAACGGCUCACCAAGGCGAUGAUCUUUAGGGGGCCUGAGAGGGUUAUCCCCCACACUGGUACUGAGACACGGACCAGACUCCUACGGGAGGCAGCAGUGAGGAAUAUUGGUCAAUGGGCGCAAGCCUGAACCAGCCAUCCCGCGUGAAGGACGACUGCCCUAUGGGUUGUAAACUUCUUUUGUAUAGGGAUAAACCUACCCUCGUGAGGGUAGCUGAAGGUACUAUACGGAUAAGCACCGGCUAACUCCGUGCCAGCCGCCGCAGUAA
rnacentral:rRNA from 1 species